CACGUAGGGUGCGAGCGUUGUCCGGAAUUAUUGGGCGUAAAGAGCUCGUAGGCGGUGUGUCGCGUCGGCCGUGAAAACCUGCAGCUUAACUGUGGGCUUGCGGUCGAUACGGGCAUCACUGGAGUUCGGCAGGGGAUACUGGAAUUCCUGGUGUAGCGGUGAAAUGCGCAGAUAUCAGGAGGAACACCGGUGGCGAAGGCGGGUCUCUGGGCCGAUACUGACGCUGAGGAGCGAAAGCGUGGGGAGCGAACAGG
rnacentral:rRNA from 1 species